GAUGAACGCUGGCGGCGUGCCUAAUACAUGCAAGUCGAGCGAACAGACGAGGAGCUUGCUCCUCUGACGUUAGCGGCGGACGGGUGAGUAACACGUGGAUAACCUACCUAUAAGACUGGGAUAACUUCGGGAAACCGGAGCUAAUACCGGAUAAUAUAUUGAACCGCAUGGUUCAAUAGUGAAAGACGGUUUUGCUGUCACUUAUAGAUGGAUCCGCGCCGCAUUAGCUAGUUGGUAAGGUAACGGCUUACCAAGGCAACGAUGCGUAGCCGACCUGAGAGGGUGAUCGGCCACACUGGAACUGAGACACGGUCCAGACUCCUACGGGAGGCGGCAGUAGGGAAUCUUCCGCAAUGGGCGAAAGCCUGACGGAGCAACGUCGCGUGAGUGAUGAAGGUCUUCGGAUCGUAAAACUCUGUUAUUAGGGAAGAACAAAUGUGUAAGUAACUAUGCACGUCUUGACGGUACCUAAUCAGAAAGCCACGGCUAACUACGUG
rnacentral:rRNA from 1 species